rnacentral:pre_miRNA from 1 species
AGAGGGAUAGCUGGCUCAAAUGGCGGUUCCAUACCCAGAUUUCCAAGGAAUCUCCAUACUGCUUUCCAAAUUGGCUGCACCAAUUUGCAAUCCCACCAGCAAU